GAUGAACGCUGGCGGCGUGCCUAAUACAUGCAAGUCGAGCGAACGGACGAGAAGCUUGCUUCUCUGAUGUUAGCGGCGGACGGGUGAGUAACACGUGGAUAACCUACCUAUAAGACUGGGAUAACUUCGGGAAACCGGAGCUAAUACCGGAUAAUAUUUUCAACCGCAUGGUUCAAAAGUGAAAGACGGUCUUGCUGUCACUUAUAGAUGGAUCCGCGCUGCAUUAGCUAGUUGGUAAGGUAACGGCUUACCAAGGCAACGAUGCAUAGCCGACCUGAGAGGGUGAUCGGCCACACUGGAACUGAGACACGGUCCAGACUCCUACGGGAGGCAGCAGUAGGGAAUCUUCCGCAAUGGGCGAAAGCCUGACGGAGCAACGCCGCGUGAGUGAUGAAGGUCUUCGGAUCGUAAAACUCUGUUAUUAGGGAAGAACAUAUGUGUAAGUAACUGUGCACAUCUUGACGGUACCUAAUCAGAAAGCCACGGCUAACUGCGUG
rnacentral:rRNA from 1 species